rnacentral:rRNA from 1 species
GACGAACGCUGGCGGCGUGCCUAAUACAUGCAAGUCGAGCGAAGAUUUUCUGGUGCUUGCACUAGAAAAACUUAGCGGCGAACGGGUGAGUAACACGUAAAGAACCUGCCUCAUAGACUGGGACAACUAUUGGAAACGAUAGCUAAUACCGGAUAACAGCAUUAACUGCAUGGUUGAUGUUUAAAAGUUGGUUUUGCUAACACUAUGAGAUGGCUUUGCGGUGCAUUAGCUGGUUGGUGGGGUAAAGGCCUACCAAGGCGACGAUGCAUAGCCGACCUGAGAGGGUGAUCGGCGACCUGAGGAGUGGGACGCGGCCAAGACGACUGCGGGAGGGAGCAGUAGGGAAUCUUCCGCAGCAGGCGAAAGCAUGACGGAGCGGCGCCGAGUGAGUGGAGGAGGAGUUCGGUUCGUAAAGCUGUGUUGUUAGGGGAGAAUGAUUGUGUAGUAACUAGACGCGGUAGAGACGGUAACUAGCCAGGAAGCCACGGCUAACUACGUG